rnacentral:rRNA from 1 species
UACGAAGGGUGCAAGCGUUAAUCGGAAUUACUGGGCGUAAAGGGUGCGUAGGCGGUUCGUUAAGUCUGUUGUGAAAUCCCCGGGCUCAACCUGGGAAUGGCAAUGGAUACUGGCGGGCUAGAGUGUGUCAGAGGAUGGUGGAAUUCCCGGUGUAGCGGUGAAAUGCGUAGAGAUCGGGAGGAACAUCAGUGGCGAAGGCGGCCAUCUGGGUUAACACUGACGCUCAGGCACGAAAGCGUGGGGAGCAAACAGG